rnacentral:rRNA from 1 species
AACGAACGCUGGCGGCAUGCCUAACACAUGCAAGUCGAACGAGACCUUCGGGACAGGUGGCGCAUGGGUGCGUAGCGCGUGGGAACCUGGCCUUAGGCUUGGGAUACCACUCUUUAGGGGGUGCUAAUACCGGAAAAUGUCCUCGGACCAAACAUUCAUCGUCUUUGGAUGGGCACGCGUUGGAUUAGCCAGUCGCUAGAGUAAAAGCCUAUCACGGGGACGAUCCAUAGCUGGGCAGAGAGGAUGAUCAGCCACACUGGGACUGAGACACGGGCCAGAAUCCUACGGGAGGGAGCAGUGGGGAAUAUUGGACAAUGGGCGAAAGCCUGAUCCAGCAAUGCCGCGUGAGUGAUGAAGGCCUUAGGGUAGUAAAGCUCUUUUAACCGGGAUGAUAAUGACAGUACCGGGAGAAUAAGCUCCGGCUAACUCCGUG